UACGGAGGGUGCAAGCGUUAAUCGGAAUUACUGGGCGUAAAGCGCACGCAGGCGGGUUGUUAAGUCAGAUGUGAAAUCCCCGGGCUCAACCUGGGAACUGCAUUUGAUACUGGCAAGCUUGAGUCUCGUAGAGGGGGGUAGAAUUCCAGGUGUAGCGGUGAAAUGCGUAGAGAUCUGGAGGAAUACCGGUGGCGAAGGCGGCCCCCUGGACGAAGACUGACGCUCAGGUGCGAAAGCGUGGGGAGCAAACAGG
rnacentral:rRNA from 1 species